rnacentral:rRNA from 1 species
UACGUAGGGUGCAAGCGUUGUCCGGAAUUAUUGGGCGUAAAGAGCUCGUAGGCGGUUUGUUGCGUCGGCUGUGAAAUCCCGAGGCUCAACCUCGGGUCUGCAGUCGAUACGAGCAAACUAGAGUGUUGCAGGGGAGACUGGAAUUCCUGGUGUAGCGGUGAAAUGCGCAGAUAUCAGGAGGAACACCGGUGGGCGAAGGCGGG